UACGUAGGGGGCUAGCGUUGUCCGGAAUCAUUGGGCGUAAAGCGCGCGUAGGCGGCCCGGUAAGUCCGCUGUAAAAGUCAAAGGCUCAACCUUUGAAUGUCAGUGGAUACUGCCGGGCUAGAGUCCGGAAGAGGAGAGUGGAAUUCCUGGUGUAGCGGUGAAAUGCGUAGAUAUCGGAAGGAACACCAGUGGCGAAAGCGGCUUCCUGGACCAGUACUGACGUUCAUGUGCGAAAGCGUGGGGAGCAAACAGG
rnacentral:rRNA from 1 species